rnacentral:piRNA from 1 species
CAUGACAAGUGAUACUUUCUGAAGAUA